GAAAAAAGCUUAGAACUCGGAUACGAAGACUGCUGGAUCUGCACAUGUCAUGAAAGAUCCAGGAGAUGGCCAAAGUGUAAUUUCAGUAUUGUCACAGGCAAGGACUAGAGUUAUAGCUUCAAUUGAAUAAAGAGCAUCAAACUUGUAGUAGUGUACCUGAUGACAUAUUUCCUCGGUGAAUAGCUGCAUCUGGAACAGAGGACUUCUAUGAAACUGAGUGAAAACUAAAUAUAGAGAUUGGUCUACAAUAUGGCUGAAAGCUGUUAUUUGUUAAAGACUCCUAAUGCUACAGUUUGCAAUCAUGAGAUACAGAAAUAAAUGGGCUAAUAUAUAUUUUUGGACUGCAAGAGUGAGAGACAAAAUUGAGCUAAGAGAUGCUGUUCAUUAAUCCAGUUGCAAAGCUCUCACCAUGCUGGGUGCUUGCAUAGUAACCCUCUGGGGAGCUGUGCAUCAGUGUGCAAGGACAACAUCUGGAAAGAGGCAUGCAGGAAAGGAACCUUUAAAAGAUCUCUUCAAUUCAGUUCUAUUGUACUUCUGAUUAGGGAAAAACAUAAGAAGACUUCACAUGAGGGUAUCCUAUUGUGCAGCACAAAGAAGCCUCAGCUCGUCCAAAUAUUUUUUAGGCUGUUAUUAUUGUUAUUCUAUAUUAAUUCUGCUUCACAUAGUAGUUACAGAAAAUGAGACUUUCUUAAAGUAGUUUCUGUUGAAGUCAGUUGGGAAAAUAUAAAUCCGUUAGCAGUUAGAUGAAGAUCCUGGAGAGUAAGAAUAUAAACAUUAUUCCUCUGAAUUUUUAAUUGAAAACGUUACUUUUCUAUCAUAACUAAGGGUAGCUGGACAGUGGGAUGGGGGUUAUUUUUGGUUGCUUGGCUUUUUAAGGAAAGGAUAGAAAUAAUUUAUUGUUUGUGGCUCUACCUGAUCUGCCAUAAUUAACAUUGCAGUGGCAAAUCAUUUUAGGCAACCAUAGGGAAUGGACCUGGUUCUCCCUGUGCCAUUCUGAAUCAUACAUUAUCCUUGUAUAAUAAUUUAUAGCAAUAAAAUAUUGUUACUAUAUAGAACUUUA